rnacentral:lncRNA from 1 species
GAGAUAGUGAGAAACGAGUAGUUUACAGAGGAUGUGGUGAAGUAUGUUUGAUCGUUUAGUGAAAAAAAUAAUUUGUGUAUUUAAUUGUGUUAUCAAUCGAAGUUGAUGGUUGUUUAAAAUUUUUUUUUUUUUAAUGAAGGAUCAAUAUGGUAGCAGAUUUUAUUUGUUUGGAGGUGGUGUGACGUAAAGCAGCACUGAGAUAGAGGUAAUACUUUUUGUGACUCGAGUUCGUCAAGGAUAGAAUUCACGAAGGACAUUGAAAAGUGAAGGAGUUAUGAUGCAUUUGGCUGCUUUUCAAUAUAGGUUGAGAGGGUUAAUAGGUAUUGGUGU